rnacentral:lncRNA from 1 species
AGGGGCCCUGAUCCCGAAAUCCCGGGCUUAAAAACAUGAUAUCCCGAGGUGCGUAUUUUAACGAAAUUCAUAUCCCGACAUCACGUUAUUAAAAAAAAAAUAUUCCUGCAUCCCGUAGAGAUCAAUCCCGAAAUCCCAAGCUUAAAAACACCCGAUCCCGACGCCCCGAAUAAGUCCUGCCUCCCUCUAAUCUCUACACUACUUUCAUUUUGGCAAAAUCACUUCUUUCGUCCGUCCUUCUGUCCGUCUUCAGGUUAAAGUUUUAACUUUCAACAAUAAAUUUUUAUGCCCCAAUUAUGGGAAUUAUGUUUUUUAGUCUGUUUGUCCGUUGGUUCGUUCGUCCGUCCGACUGUCCCGCUUC